rnacentral:rRNA from 1 species
AACGAACGCUGGCGGCAUGCCUAACACAUGCAAGUCGAACGAGACCUUCGGGUCUAGGGGCGCACGGGGGGGGAAGGCGGGGGAAGCUGCCCUUAGGUUCGGAAUAACUCCCCGAAAGGGGUGCUAAUACAGGAUAAUGUAUUCGGACAAAAGAGUUAUCGCCGUUGGGUGGGCCCGCGAUGGCUUAGGUAGUUGGGGGGGUAAAAGCCUAGCAAGGCGGCGAUGCAUAGCUGGUCUGAGAGGAUGCUCCGCCACACUGGGAAUGCGACACGGCCCAGACGCCUACGCGACGCUGCAGUGUAGAAUAUUGUACACUGGACGCAGGCCUGAUCCAGCAGCGCCGGGUGUGUCAUGAAUCGCUUAGUGUUCUAAAGUUCUUUUACCCGGGAUGAUAAUGACAGUACCGGGUAAAUAAGCACCGGCUAACUCCGUG